GGUGUAAUUCAUAUUUACUUAUUAAAGAUGCUUAUUGUUUUUGAUUUCUCUAGAUGUUUGAAGACAUGAGAGGAGAGCAAUAGAAACAUAAACUUAUUACAUAUCUUUACUGUGUUGUGUUCAGAUUUUCAGUCAAAAAACAGAAUGUUUGAUGAACCUCAGUCUUGUAGAGAUAAUUUUAAAGCUCUUGUUGUAUUCACUGCAUAAAACAACUAUAAUAUCAUGUAUUUUUGUGUUUUCUUUCAGAGAAUGAACCACUUCUAUUAAAAACAACAUGGCAGCCAGCAGUUCUAUUGGAAGCAUCCAAGAAUUAUGAGAAUGUUCAACUGGUGGACACAGAAAACAAGCUAAUAAUAAUGAGGAACCCUUC